GGGGUGUGAUCAGAGUAGAAAGCCUAAAGAAGUGGCUCUUCUGUUUACAACAUACCCAACAGGAACUGGGUUCAUUGGUCAUGGCCAUGAAAGUUUUGGCCUAACCCCAAACACAUAACUCUACACAG
ensembl:snoRNA